rnacentral:rRNA from 1 species
CCUACGGGGGGCAGCAGUAGGGAAUAUUGCUCAAUGGGGGAAACCCUGAAGCAGCAACGCCGCGUGGAGGAUGAAGGUUUUCGGAUUGUAAACUCCUUUUGUUAGAGAAGAUAAUGACGGUAUCUAACGAAUAAGCACCGGCUAACUCCGUACCAGCAGCCGCGGUAAUACGGAGGGUGCAAGCGUUACUCGGAAUCACUGGGCGUAAAGGGCGCGUAGGCGGGAUAGCAAGUCAGAUGUGAAAUCCUAUGGCUUAACCAUAGAACUGCAUUUGAAACUGUUAUUCUAGAGUAUGGGAGAGGUAGGUGGAAUUCUUGGUGUAGGGGUAAAAUCCGUAGAGAUCAAGAGGAAUACUCAUUGCGAAGGCGACCUGCUAGAACAUAACUGACGCUGAUGCGCGAAAGCGUGGGGAGCAAACAGGAUUAGAUACCCCAGUAGUC